rnacentral:rRNA from 1 species
GACGAACGCUGGCGGCGUGCUUAACACAUGCAAGUCGAACGGAAAGGCCCUGCUUUUGUGGGGUGCUCGAGUGGCGAACGGGUGAGUAACACGUGAGUAACAUGCCCUUGACUUUGGGAUAACUUCAGGAAACUGGGGCUAAUACCGGAUAGGAGCUCCUGCUGCAUGGUGGGGGUUGGAAAGUUUCGGCGGUUGGGGAUGGACUCGCGGCGUAUCAGCUUGUUGGUGGGGUAGCGGCUUUACAAGGCUACGAUGGGUAGCCGGCCUGAGAGGGUGAUCGGGCACACUGGAACUGAGACACGGUGCAGACUGCUACGGGAGGAAGCAGUAGGGAAUAUUCCGCAAGGGGCGAAAGCCUGACGGAGCAACGCCGCGUGAGUGAUGAAGGUCUUCGGAUCGUAAAAAUCGGUUAUUAGGGAAGAACAAAUGUGUAAGUAACUAUGCACGUCUUGACGGUACCUAAUCAGAAAGACAGGGCUAAGUACGUG